rnacentral:rRNA from 1 species
GACGAACUGUCCAAACGUUGUUCGGAAUCACUGGGCUUAAAGGGCGCGUAGGCGGUCGGCCAAGUCAGGGGUGAAAUCCUGCAGCUUAACUGUAGAAGUGCCUUUGAUACUGGUCGUCUCGAGGGAGGUAGGGGUGUGUGGAACUCACAGUGGAGCGGUGAAAUGCGUUGAUAUUGUGAGGAACGCCGGAGGCGAAAGCGACGCACUGGACCUCUUCUAACGCUGAGGCGCGAAAGCCAGGGGAGCAAACGGG